GAGUUUGAUCGUGGCUCAGAGUGAACGCUGGCGGUAGGCCUAACACAUGCAAGUCGAACGGCAGCACAGAGGAGCUUGCUCCUUGGGUGGCGAGUGGCGGACGGGUGAGGAAUACAUCGGAAUCUACUCUGUCGUGGGGGAUAACGUAGGGAAACUUACGCUAAUACCGCAUACGACCUACGGGUGAAGCAGGGGAUCUUCGGACCUUGCGCGAUUGAAUGAGCCGAUGUCGGAUUAGCUAGUUGGCGGGUAAAGGCCCACCAAGGCGACGAUCCGUAGCUGGUCUGAGAGGAUGAUCAGCCACACUGGAACUGAGACACGGUCCAGACUCCUACGGGAGGCAGCAGUGGGAAUAUUGGACAAUGGGCGCAAGCCUGAUCCAGCCAUACCGCGUGGGUGAAGAAGGCCUUCGGGUUGUAAAGUCCCUUUUGUUGGGAAAGAAAUCCAGCCGGCUAAUACCUGGUUGGGAUGACGGUACCAAGAAUAAGCACCGGCUAACUCGUGCCAG
rnacentral:rRNA from 1 species